rnacentral:rRNA from 1 species
GACGAACGCUGGCGGCGUGCCUAAUACAUGCAAGUUGAGCGAUGAAGAUUGGUGCUUGCACCAAUUUGAAGAGCAGCGAACGGGUGAGUAACGCGUGGGGAAUCUGCCUUUGAGCGGGGGACAACAUUUGGAAACGAAUGCUAAUACCGCAUAACAACUUUAAACAUAAGUUUUAAGUUUGAAAGAUGCAAUUGCAUCACUCAAAGAUGAUCCCGCGUUGUAUUAGCUAGUUGGUGAGGUAAAGGCUCACCAAGGCGAUGAUACAUAGCCGACCUGAGAGGGUGAUCGGCCACAUUGGGACUGGGACACGGCCCAAACUCCUACGGGAGGCAGCAGUAGGGAAUCUUCGGCAAUGGACGAAAGUCUGACCGAGCAACGCCGCGUGAGUGAAGAAGGUUUUCGGAUCGUAAAACUCUGUUGGUAGAGAAGAACGUUGGUGAGAGUGGAAAGCUCAUCAAGUGACGGUAACUACACAGAAAGGGACGGCUAACUACGUG